rnacentral:rRNA from 1 species
CGUUUUACAAGUUAGUUGGCGGGGUAAUGGCCCACCAAGACGAUGAUCGGUAUCCGGCCUGAGAGGGCGCACGGACACACUGGAACUGAAACACGGUCCAGACUCCUACGGGAGGCAGCAGUGGGGAAUUUUGCGCAAUGGGGGAAACCCUGACGCAGCAACGCCGCGUGGAGGAUGAAAUAUCUUGGUAUGUAAACUCCUUUCGAUGGGGAAGAUUAUGACGGUACCCAUAGAAGAAGCCCCGGCUAACUUCGUGCCAGCAGCCGCGGUAAUACGAGGGGGGCAAGCGUUGUUCGGAUUUAUUGGGCGUAAAGGGUGCGUAGGCGGUUUGGCAAGUCUUAUGUGAAAUCUUCAGGCUCAACCCGAAGCCUGCAUAAGAAACUGCCGGGCUUGAGUAUGGGAGAGGUGAGUGGAAUUUCCGGUGUAGCGGUGAAAUGCGUAGAUAUCGGAAGGAACACCUGUGGCGAAAGCGGCUCACUGGACCAUAACUGACGCUGACGCACGAAAG